AUACUUACCUGGCAGGGGAGAUACCAUGAUCAUGAAGGUGGUUUUCUCAGGGUGAGGCUCAUCCAUUGCACUCUGGCUGUGCUGACCCCUGUGAUUUCCCCAAAUGUGGGAAAUUCAACUGCAUAAUUUGUGGUAGUGGGGGACUCCGUUCGCGCUAUCCCCUG
ensembl:snRNA U1 U1 spliceosomal RNA